UGGGGAAUAUUGGACAAUGGGGGCAACCCUGAUCCAGCCAUGCCGCGUGAGUGAUGAAGGCCUUCGGGUUGUAAAGCUCUUUUGGCGGGGACGAUGAUGACGGUACCCGCAGAAUAAGCCCCGGCUAACUUCGUGCCAGCAGCCGCGGUAAGACGAAGGGGGCUAGCGUUGUUCGGAAUUACUGGGCGUAAAGCGAGUGUAGGCGGUUGCCGUAGUCAGGUGUGAAAGCCUUGAGCUCAACUCAAGAAAUGCACUUGAUACUGGGUGACUAGAGGACCGGAGAGGAUAGUGGAAUUCCCCAGUGUAGUGGUGAAAUACGUAGAGAUUGGGAAGAACACCAGUGGCGAAGGCGGCUAUCUGGACGGUUACUGACGCUAAGACUCGAAAGCGUGGGGAGCAAACAGGAUUAGAUACCCUGGUAGUCCACGCCGUAAACGAUGGGUGCUAGACGUUGGCGAGCUUGCUCGUCAGUGUCGCAGCUAACGCGUUAAGGCACCCCGCCUGGGGAGUACGGCCGCAAGGUUG
rnacentral:rRNA from 1 species